rnacentral:rRNA from 1 species
UACGGGGGGAGCAAGCGUUGUUCGGAUUUACUGGGCGUAAAGGGCGCGUAGGCGGCGUAACAAGUCACUUGUGAAAUCUCCGGGCUUAACCCGGAGCGGCCAAGUGAUACUGUUGUGCUAGAGUGCGGAAGGGGCUACUGGAAUUCUCGGUGUAGCGGUGAGAUGCGUAGAUAUCGAGAGGAACACCUGCGGCGAAGGCGGGUAGCUGGGCCGACACUGACGCUGAGGCGCGAAAGCCAGGGGAGCGAACGGG